UACGUAGGGUGCGAGCGUUGUCCGGAAUUAUUGGGCGUAAAGAGCUCGUAGGCGGCUUUGCAAGUUAGAGGUGAAAGCCCGGGGCUCAACUCCGGAAUUGCCUUUAAAACUGCAUCGCUAGAAUUGUGGAGAGGUAAGUGGAAUUCCGAGUGUAGAGGUGAAAUUCGUAGAUAUUCGGAAGAACACCAGUGGCGAAGGCGACUUACUGGACACAUAUUGACGCUGAGGUGCGAAAGCGUGGGGAGCAAACAGG
rnacentral:rRNA from 1 species